rnacentral:rRNA from 1 species
GACGAACGUUGGCGGCGUGCUUAACACAUGCAAGUCGAGCGGUAAGGCCCUUUCGGGGUACACGAGCGGCGAACGGGUGAGUAACACGUGGGUGACCUGCCCUCAGCUCUGGGAUAAGCCUGGGAAACCGGGUCUAAUACCGGAUAUGACUCCACGACGCAUGUUGUGGGGUGGAAAGCCUUGUGCGGCUGGGGAUGGGCCCGCGGCCUAUCAGCUUGUUGGUGGGGUGAUGGCCUACCAAGGCGA